rnacentral:rRNA from 1 species
GACAGAGGGGGCAAGCGUUGCUCGGAAUCACUGGGCGUAAAGGGCGCGUAGGCGGGAUGGCAAGUCGGUCGUGAAAUCCUUCGGCUCAACCGAAGAACGUCGGCCGAUAAUGCCGUUCUUGAGGGAUGCAGAGGAGAUUGGAAUUCCCGGUGUAGCGGUGAAAUGUGUAGAGAUCGGGAGGAACACCGGUGGCGAAGGCGGGUCUCUGGGCAUCUCCUGACGCUGAGGCGCGAAAGCGUGGGGAGCAAACGGG